UGCCAGCAGCCGCGGUAAUACGGAGGAUCCAAGCGUUAUCCGGAAUCAUUGGGUUUAAAGGGUCCGUAGGCGGU
rnacentral:rRNA from 1 species